rnacentral:tRNA from 1 species
GGUGAGAUGGVAGAGHGGBUGAAUGCACUAGUCUUGAAAACUAGCAAGGGUUUGUAGCCCUUCCAGGGUUCAAAUCCCUGUCUCACCGCCA